AUUGAACGCUGGCGGCAUGCCUUACACAUGCAGGUCGAACGGCAGCGGACCUUCGGGUGCCGGCGAGUGGCGAACGGGUGAGUAAUAUAUCGGAACGUACCUUUCAGUGGGGGAUAACGUAGCGAAAGUUACGCUAAUACCGCAUAUUCUGUGAGCAGGAAAGCAGGGGAUCGCAAGACCUUGCGCUGAUUGAGCGGCCGAUAUCAGAUUAGCUAGUUGGUGAGGUAAAGGCUCACCAAGGCGACGAUCUGUAGCGGGUCUGAGAGGAUGAUCCGCCACACUGGAACUGAGACACGGUCCAGACUCCUACGGGAGGCAGCAGUGGGGAAUUUUGGACAAUGGGCGCAAGCCUGAUCCAGCCAUGCCGCGUGAGUGAAGAAGGCC
rnacentral:rRNA from 1 species